AGCCUUUAAACACCACUUUCUGUACGAUUAUCGAAGUUAAGUAACAUCGAGUCUGAUCAGUACUUAGUUGGGUGACCCCUGGGGAAUACCUGGUGUUGUAAG